GCCGUCAUUGAGAGUCAGGGAAAAGCAUGCUGAAGUUUAUGAGAGUCCAGGAGAGCUCACAGAAACCACGUGAGGAAUAAGUUCGGUGGUGACCAUCAUCAUCAUCAUUAUUCACCCAUGUUGAGCUGAGCAGUUAUUCAGUCGAUUUUCUCGGUCUGAGUGUUUGUUCAUUGUUUCUGAAGGAUUGAUAAAAGAGGAUUUAUGUUUUACUCAUGUAGUGACUCCAGACGAUGCACAUUUUAGUUUCUUUUUUCUAAGCACCAGAAGGAAGAAUCCCAGGAACUCCCUAAUGUCCCCGGGGUGGCUGUGGCUCAGGAGGUAGAGUGGUGGUUCGAUCCCUGUCUGCUCCAGUCUGCCGUAUCCCUGGACAAGAUAUUAACCCAGAGUUGCUCUCCAUGCAUCCAUCAGAGUAUGAAUGUGUGUGUGUGAAUGGGGA